GGAGAGAUUCGAGGCCUCUCUGUGCCAUUCCGUGCACACUGGGCACAACUUAAAACCCGUCUGGCGUGGGGGGCCGCUGGCAAGUGUGCAGGUCACUAUCAGUGACCCUCUAGUGAAGCCAGACUUGGGAGUCUCCUUCUGGGCGGGUGGUGCGGCUUCUUCCCAGGGGAGUGGAGGGAGAAGGGCGCCCUUGAGGGGAGAAUCCGGAGCUGGGUGUUACCUGCGGGUCUGCCUGGGCAGUCGGGUUAGCAGUGCAAAGAGCCAGACAGCCAUAGCUGUCACUGGGUGGCUUUAAAAAGUGGGAAGGGGCGUGGUGAGGGAUUCUGCAGGACCUGGAUCCUCCAGGUGCCCUGGGCUGGGGACAGUGCGCCAGGACUGCUGUGUCCACAUACUACAUGUUGGUCUGGGGGCUGACAUUCAUGGUCCCAUAGCCCUGGGGCCUGGACGUUCAAGAUCAGGGUGUCUGCAAGGGCCUGUCUUGUGGACCACCAUCUUCUCCCUGGGUCCCCCCAGGAUGGUGCCUCUGUGUGGGUCUGUGUCCUCAUCUCUUCUGAUAAAGACCUGGGACCUGUUGGAUCAGGACCACCCUCCAGAACUCAUCGCCUGUUUAGAGACCCUGCUUUCAAAUACAGACACGGUGCUGCAGUGCCCUUGUGGCUUGAAUUUGGGAGAGAACAUCUCUGAAGUGUUUACUGCACAGGAUCUAUUGAAGCCCAUCCGUCCAACGAGCUCCUGUUGGAAACAAACUGUGCACAAGCCCCAUCUUCCACCAGCCCAGCCAUCUGCCUUCCUUGGUCCACAUCCAACUCCCCACGGUGCUGGAGAAAAAUUGCACGGGUGAGCAAAUUCGUGUUACUACAGAAUCUUGAUCUUCA
ensembl:lincRNA